rnacentral:ncRNA from 1 species
ACUCGGGCACGACCCGCGCUGUCAUGUGUGGGACCGACCCGAUGUGAUCAACCUAAGGGA